ACCCAGCUGGCUCAGUCUGAAGAGUGUAUGACUCUUGAUCUUAGGGUCAUGAGUUCAAGCCCCAUGUUGGGUG
rnacentral:tRNA from 1 species